rnacentral:rRNA from 1 species
GACGAACGCUGGCGGCGUGCUUAACACAUGCAAGUCGAACGGAGAUACGAUUUCGGUUGUAUCUUAGUGGCGAACGGGUGAGUAACGCGUGAACAACCUGACUCUAAGAGGGGGAUAACACUCGGAAACGGGUGCUAAUACCGCAUAAGACCACGACCCGGCAUCGGGAUGAGGUCAAAGGAGCAAUCCGCUGAGAGAGGGGUUCGCGUCCCAUUAGAUAGAUGGCGGGGUAACGGCCCACCAUGUCAACGAUGGGUAGACGAGCUGAGAGGCGGAUCGGCCACACUGGAACUGAGACACGGUCCAGACUCCUACGGGAGGCAGCAGUGGGGAAUAUUGGGCAAUGGGCGCAAGCCUGACCCAGCAACGCCGCGUGAGGGAAGAAGGCUUUCGGGUUGUAAGCCUCUGUCCUUGGUGACGAAACAAAUGACGGUAGCCAAGGAGGAAGCCCCGGCUAACUACGUGCCAGCAGCCGCGGUAA